GACGAACGCUGGCGGCGUGCCUAAUACAUGCAAGUCGAGCGGACUAAUGGGAGCUUGCUCCCGUUAGUUAGCGGCGGACGGGUGAGUAACACGUGGGCAACCUACCUGUAAGACUGGGAUAACUUCGGGAAACCGGAGCUAAUACCGGAUGACAUAAAGGAACUCCUGUUCCUUUAUUGAAAGAUGGCUUCGGCUAUCACUUACAGAUGGGCCCGCGGCGCAUUAGCUAGUUGGUGAGGUAACGGCUCACCAAGGCGACGAUGCGUAGCCGACCUGAGAGGGUGAUCAGCCACACUGGGACUGAGACACGGCCCAGACUCCUACGGGAGGCAGCAGUAGGGGAUCUUCCGCAAUGGACGAAAGUCUGACGGAGCAACGCCGCGUGAGCGAUGAAGGCCUUCGGGUCGUAAAGCUCUGUUGUUAGGGAAGAAUAAGUGCUAGUUGAAUAAGCUGGCACCUUGACGGUACCUAACCAGAAAGCCACGGCUAACUACGUGCCAGCCGCCGCGGUAACAC
rnacentral:rRNA from 1 species